GCUGUGAGAUAUUUAUUCAUAACAAAUCCAACAUUCACAAAGAAUGUACAUGAAAAUAUGAAAUAACACCUGUGAGAAAUAACUGAACAAGAAAUGCAUUAUUACACUGUAACAACUAAAGUAUCCAACUUCACCUGUUAGGCACUUAGGCUGUUAUACACUGUAACAUAACAACUAAAGUAUUCAUAAGUCAUAACAUUCUGCAGCAUACUCACUGUGAUAAAGAAAUGCAUUACCAUCAACUGCAGUAAACUAGGCAGUAGCCACUAGCAAGUAGGUAGUACAAAGUUGAAACAAAGUUGAAACAAGUUUUGCUGCAGUAGAAACUAGAUCAUUACAUAUUACAUAUCCAACUAAUCCAAGAUUAAAAACAAACAACGCACAAGGCAUAAUUCUCUCAACUAUCAAGCCUCCAUUCUCGAACAAAUCAACCAUAUUACAUAUCCAAGAUUGAUGCAUCUAAAUCUCCUGCUGAAAAUUCUGUAAUUUUUAAAAGACAAAUGUGAGCAAAUCAUAAUUUAUUAUGCUAUACAAUAUCUUCAUAAAUAAACAAUACAAAGUGUUACAGUGUUACUAUGCUAUACCUUUUUCAAUUUCUUCAAGGGAUUCCAACUUUUCUUCGAUAUCAAUUGGUUCGUUGCUUCAACGAAGCCAAUCUUGAGCACAAAUAAUUCCUUGCACCAUCCUAGGAGUUAAAGAGCUCCUAAAGGAAUCAAGUAUGCGUCCUCCUGUGCUAAACGCCGAUUCGGAAGCCACGGUAGAAAUGGGAAUGGCUAAGACAUCUCUAGCCAUUAAUGAAAGAACAGGAAAUCUAUGAGUGUUGGAUCUCCACCAAGCUAAAAGGUUAAAUUUUUCAUCUUUUCUUUCAACUCGAUCCUUUAAAUACAUUUCUAGCUCAGUUUGAACUCCCCCACCUUGAACAUCCUCAACAUGUUGUUCAAACAAGCUGUCAAUUUUUCUUUUUUUUCUUGACAUACUUUCUACUAAUGAUGAACCACCACUUCGAGUUACGCUUCCACUCCCGCUUGGAGUUUGAGAUGAAUGACCUUGGGACGAUAAAUGAUUGAGAUUAUAAUAAUUGAACAACUCAAAUAAUACAUCUUUAGCUCCUCUAAUCAUUUUGAUUGCCAAAUCACUUUCUUUACCAUACAUGUGAUUAAAUACAAACUCAACAAAAGUGAAUUUGUGUCUUGGAUCAAGAACCACGACAAUGUACAACAACUUGUUCAUUUUAUCAACAUCCCCCCAAUAUUUCAUUAACUUUGAUCUCAUCCUCAUAGCCAUUUCUCUCAUUUGAUAAUCAUCAUCAUCUUCCAUUUCUUUCAAAAGACCAUCAACUUCCACAAACUCAUGAACAAAUCCAUUGGAUGUAACAUAUAAUGUGCCAGAGAUUCUAAGUGUUAAUUCAUAGAAGUGUUUCAAAAACAAAACAAUUCUUCUCACAUUACCCCAAUCCUCCACCGUUGGCCACCCUUCACCUGAGAUCAUUUCUUGUUUAAACAAAGGAUCCCUACUCCCAAGCCUAUUAAAAGCACGUUCAAAAUGUUGAGCAACAUUCAACAUUGAAUAAGUGGAGUUCCAUCUAGUAGCAACAUCUAGGAUUAAUGAAGAUUUAUUUUCAAUUUUUUCAAAGUCAACACACUCCUUGAACUUUCUAAUCCUAGAUGGAGAUUGCCUUACCCACCUAAUCAAUGCCCGAACACGAGCUACAGAAAUAUUAACAUCUUUCAACCCAUCAACUACGACCAAGUUUAAAAUAUGAGCAACACAUCGAACAUGAAUGAAUUUAUUCUCGCAAACACUAUGUCCCCAUACUUGCAAUUGAUUUUUUAAAUAAGAUAUCGCAACAUCAUUUGAACUGGCAUUAUCAAUAGUUAUAGUAAAAACUCUCUUGAUCCCCCAUUCUAUCAAACAAUUCUCAAUUGCCAUUCAAAUAGCCUCACCCUUGUGACUUAAAAUUGGAACAAAGUUUAUAAUUUUUUUUCUCAAUCUCCAUUUAUCAUCAAUGUAAUGAGCUGUCACAACCAUAUAAUUAAGUCUAUACGUUGAUGUCCAUGUGUCAGUUAUAAUACAUAUCCUUUGAGAAGAUGAGUUAAAAAUAGAUUUUAACUUCUUUUUCUCGUCCAUAUAUAUUUUAAAACAAUCUCUUGUAAUUGUGUGACAUGAAGGAACAUUGAACCUAGGACAUGCGAUGGACACAAAAUGUCGAAAUCCCUCAUUUUCGACAAAUUUAAAAGGAAGUUCAUCAACUAGAAUCAUAUAUGCUAAAGUAGCCCGAGUUAGUUCCAUAUCAAACUUCCAAAGAUAAUUAUUUGUUGACUCCCCUUCUAUGGUCUCAUCAUCAUUAUUAGCACUUGCAGAUUUAAAGUUUAAGAUUGCUUGAUUUUUUAACUCAACAUUUGGGGGUAAAUUUUACAUCUCCUAUUGUGAGCAUUUAGACCACUAGUCCCAUUAUUUUUUGGAUCCGCACUUAAAAUAGCUCCACAAUAUUUGCAUUUAGCUUUAAUUUGACCAUUUUGCUUAAAUCUUGUAUAAUGAGCCCAAAUUUUAGCACGAGUCUUACCAGCAUCAAGUUGCUCAAUUUCACCUUCAUUCAACUCCUCUUCAUCAAUAUGAAUUGAAUUUUCAGAAUUCGAUUCCACGUUGAUGGGUGCCUCAGACUGCUGCUCAGCCAUUAUAACCUACACAAUAUCAAACAACCAUAAUUACUACAAAGGACAGUAACAGAUUCCUGGAGUUUAAACCAACAGGACAGUAACACUAACUUUUCGUAAAUACUCUUGUUUGGACAGUAACAGAUUCCUGGACAAUACUAUUAACAAAGUUUGGAUAAUAGAAGAGCAGAUGUAUGUAACACUAAAUUUAUUAACAAUGGUGAAGUUGAACCCACUUCAUAGCAAUAUGAAAUUGAGCUGCCUCGGUCCUCAGAAGAACAUAAAGACACUGCAAAGGCUCUUAAUACAUCAAAGCAAACCUUUCCUAAAAAAUUGACUUUUAGCUGAGGACUCACUUUUAAAAUUCAUGGGACCAAAUAAAAGAGUAAUGCUAGACUGCUAGUCACUUUUACAGAGCUAUUGGAAAAAAUCUGCAACAAAGUUAUCUGAGAGCUCAAAAUAUGUUAAAGGUUUAUAGCAGUACAUGGCAUUUCAGUUUUAACAGAUUAGAAUAUGAGAUUCUUUAUCAUUGUAGUUACAGGGUUGAUUUUCAAUUCUAAAAGGUAACAACUAACAAGAGUAUUUAUAAUUAAAAAAAAGGCAAUUGCUGAAUAGAAAGAAUUUUACCAGUUCCUAACUUCAAAAAUCAAAAUAUCAUUAAUAGAAGAUAACAAUCAAAAAUAGAUGAUAUCCAUUUUUGGAGAAGGGUUUAGGACAGAGUAGUAAUAGAAAAAAAAAACCCAUCAAAAAUCAGCAGAGAAAGUCUCAAACACACAUUCAAACACAUACAAAAACUGAAAAAAAAAAAAAUUACUAGUAUACAGAAUUACAGAUCUCAGAUCUCAUAGACUCAUAGUUUAGUUUUACUCAAAAUAUCAGAUAUUUUAGUUUUACAGAUCUCAGAUCUCAUAGACUUACCGUCAGCGACUCGACGCUAGUCGGAGACGACAGUCGUUGAGAUGCACGGAGCUUUAGCCUUUAAUGGAGGACUGAGGAGAAGUCGAUCGAGAAGGUGAAGCACGGAGCCACGGACUACGGAGUGUAGAAGAGAGCAAGAGACUAGAGAGUAGAGACUAGAAAGACUUUGGAGAAGAAAGGAG
rnacentral:lncRNA from 1 species